GACGUAGGAUGCGAGCGUUGUUCGGAUUUAUUGGGCGUAAAGCGUGCGUAGGCGGUUAUUCAAGUCUGGUGUUAAAGCUAGGGGCUCAACCCCUGUGAUGCACUGGAAACUGGGUGACUCGAGUGCGGUAGGGGAAGGUGGAAUUCCGAGUGUAGCGGUGAAAUGCGUAGAUAUUCGGAAGAACACCGGUGGCGAAGGCGACCUUCUGGGCCGCAACUGACGCUGAGGCACGAAAGCCUGGGGAGCGAACGGG
rnacentral:rRNA from 1 species